rnacentral:rRNA from 1 species
AACGAACGCUGGCGGCAGGCUUAACACAUGCAAGUCGAACGGCAGCACGGGUGCUUGCACCUGGUGGCGAGUGGCGAACGGGUGAGUAAUAUAUCGGAACGUACCUUAUUGUGGGGGAUAACGCAGCGAAAGCUGUGCUAAUACCGCAUAAUCCCUAAGGGGGAAAGCGGGGGACCGUAAGGCCUCGCGCAAUUAGAGCGGCCGAUACCUGAUUAGCUAGUUGGGGAGGUAAAGGCUCACCAAGGCAACGAUCAGUAGCUGGUCUGAGAGGACGAUCAGCCACACUGGGACUGAGACACGGCCCAGACUCCUACGGGAGGCAGCAGUGGGGAAUUUUGGACAAUGGGGGCAACCCUGAUCCAGCAAUGCCGCGUGAGUGAAGAAGGCCUUCGGGUUGUAAAGCUCUUUUGUCAGGGAAGAAACAGCAGCUCUAACACAGUAUGCGAAUGACGGUACCUGAAGAAUAAGCACCGGCUAACUACGUGCCAGCAGCCGCCGUAA